rnacentral:rRNA from 1 species
GACGAACGCUGGCGGCGUGCUUAACACAUGCAAGUCGAACGGAAAGGCCCUGCUUUUGUGGGGUGCUCGAGUGGCGAACGGGUGAGUAACACGUGAGUAACCUGCCCUUGACUUUGGGAUAACUUCAGGAAACUGGGGCUAAUACCGGAUAGGAGCUCCUGCUGCAUGGUGGGGGUGGGAAAGUUUCGCCGUUUGGGGAUGGACUCGCGGCUUAUCAGCUUGUUGGCGGGGUAGUGGCUUACCAAGGCUUUGACGGGUAGCCGGACUGAGAGGGUGACCGGCCACAUUGGGACUGAGAUACGGCCCAGACUCCUACUGGAGGCAGCAGUGGGGAAUAUUGCACAAUGGGCGGAAGCAUGAUGCAGCAACGCCGCGUGCGGGAUGACUGCCUUCGGGUUGUAAACCGCUUUCGCCUGUGACGAAGCGUGAGUGACGGUAAUGGGUAAAGAAGCACCGGCUAACUACGUG